UGCGGCUCCUGAGCCGCAUGCGGCUCCUGAGCCGCAUGCGGCUCCUGAGCCGCAUGUUGUCGACCCCCGCACUAACCCAUUAGGGGACAGCGCAUCAUGUGUACCAGGGACGGCCAUUUUCUCUUAACACAAUUUUUAGAGAACAUUCUAAAAAUCGUUUUUGUCUUCCGGUUAUUUAUGACAUAAGUCUCCAACUUGGUUCAUCUUUAGUCUGGUAGGAGAAUCAACGACUUCUGUGCUAUAAGAUAGGUGAUGAAGGUUGAUAUUAGAGCUACAGCUAACUAGUAGUGAGACAGGUACCUAGAAGACUAGAACCGACAGGAGGGCUAAACCAACUAGAACUAACUAUUAACAGAGGAGGAUGUAGAUUUUUCUUAAAUACGUCAAGAAGAAGCUGCAACUCAAUCAUGAUAGUACCUUCACGCCACAAACACUACAUUACUAUACUUACUAAAUCAUUGUCUUUCUAACUCUAACUCUAAAAGUUGGUGCUCUCUAUUAUUAACCAUUAAAUAUAAAAACUAAAUAGAAAUAUACUAAACCUAUAAUUGUUGCUAGUUAAAUUAAUAGUCUAUAAAUAAAAGUUUUACUUACCUACACCACAAUCCCUCACCUGCCCUCCAGGUGUUGCUCUACCUGUAUUACAUCUACAGUAUGCAGACCCUCCACACAUCCAAGCUGCAUUCUGCAUGGAUCUAUCUAAAUGCACAUCUUCUUCUGGGAUCCUCUUCUCCUGGUCCUCCUUCCUCUGGGAGGGGGGGGCAAAGAUGAAGCCCCCCUUUCCGGUCGUCCUGACUCCUCCUAGCCACAGCUUGAAUUGUGAGGCGACUGAACACCUCGAUGUUCCUGACUGGGACUUGAACCUGCGCUCUCCCGCUUCAAGGACAGAAACACUCCCACUGUGCUAAUCUGUCUACAGCAGGACUGUGUUGCUUUGUUCCUUUGAGCUGAUGACUGUCAAGGAGCGGCAAAAACUGACAACAACAAAACUGAGACGGGGAAUUGAACCAGCGCUUCUCUGCUUUGGAGAUCAAGUCAGUUCCAUCGCACUAUUCUGGACAUCAGUCAGCACUUUGUCGAUCACCAUUUUUCCUCCAUCUGGUGCUUUCUGGGAUUUGAACCAGCACCUUCUUGCUCUACUGUCUCCUUUCAUCUCCAUCAGUGCAACCUUGAAGCUGAAGUUUGAUUGACAGUUGACGACCUCACAUCACCAGUUGCUGCUGCUUCACCGGAAGUGUUUGGUUUGUUUUUUUCCUUGGUUCACAUCCUGAAAGUGGAUCACGGGUGGAUGGAGGCUUUGGUGAAGCAUGUGGUAGAAACUCGUGUGUUUACUUUGUUCUUUUUCUCCAAGCAGGAACUCUUUCUUUUGCUGAUGAUGCAGCCGUAUUACGUUUUUGAUGGGAGUAUAAUCUUCAUACGGCGCCAUUAAAAUCUCAGACUCCGUCUCACUUAAGUGCUAAUGAGAAUGCGCACUGAGACUGCUGCGAGCUCUGGCCGAGGGGGAAAAACACAGAAGAAACUCUGGACAGCAUCGUGAAUUUUUGUUUUCUGUUAACCAAGAUUAAAAGAGAUUGACUCAGCAUCCAAGCGUGGUCUUUUAGUCACUGGAACACAACGCAGAGCAGGACUUACCCAGUUACAGCAGCACCGCACCGUUACCAACCUGCUAACAGGUUCUGGGCCCAGGAGACGCCUGAGACUAUAAAGUGUGUUUUCCACUUUUGUGAGGAAGUUGACACCAUGAGCAGAUGAACAGCUGAUGCAAGCCGCUGGUCCCGGCUUCUGUUCGACGGAGAUGAGAAGAACUAUGGCCUAUGGGAAACCAAGUUUCCCAUAGGUCAUUCUAAAUGCGCCUGACCCUGAUGAUGACGAUGAGGAUCCAGCUAAAAAUGCGGAGGCAUGAGCUGAACUGAUCCAGUUUCUGGAUGACAAGAGACUGUCGCUGGUGAUGCGUGAGGCAGCAGAUGACGGCCGCAAGGCGCUACAGGUCCACAAUAAAGGAAAGCCUCGUAUCAUCAGUCUUUAUACUGAACUGACUUCACUGAAAAAGCCGGCCAAUGAAAGCGUGACAGAAUAUAUAAUCGGCGCUGAGACAGCGAUCACGGCCUUGAGAAACGCCGGUGAAACCCUGAGCGAUGGUCGGCUGGUUGCCAUGGUCCUGAAGGGGCUACCUGAGUCAUUCCAACCAUUUGCAAUCCAUGUGACACAACAGGAUGAGACCAUGUCAUUUGCAAAGUUUAAAACAAAGCUACGGAGCUGUGAGGACACUGAAAAGAUGCACGCGACCGCAGCAGGUGACAACGUGAUGAACGCCCGCGUGCACCAGAGGGAGACCUGCCAGCCCAGGUGAGCGAGGAGCAGAGAAGGCGACAAAGGACUUUGUGUGCUUCAGAUGCGGCCUGAAGGGACACCUGGCCAGAACCUGCCAGCACAAACUGUGGUGCAGCUUGUGCAAAAGCAGCACGCACCGGGACAGCACCUGCAGACGCAGACAGCACCUGCAGAGGACCAGACGACGCACACAAAGCCUGCAGCGAGACGAUAAACCAGGAGAAGGAGUUUGCUUUCCGAGGGAGCAGACAUUAGAUGGUCGACUGUGGAGCAACUUCACAUAUCAUCACUGAUCACAGGAAGUUCAGACGUUUUGAUGAGAACUUCCAGGCUGGACCACUCUGUGUGGUGUGGUCUGACUGACGGCACAAAGUGUAAAGGGGUGGCGGAGCGUCGUGGUGAUGCGGAGGUCUGUCUGAUUGACAGCAGAGGCUAAUUUAAUUUGUGGGCCCUCUAACUGAUCAGCAGCACCAACAAAAUGCAACUGUUAUUGUGAUAGAAAUGAGACAUUUUGUGAAUGUAUUAUUGUUGCUGCUGAAGAAUUGAAUACAGUUUAUUGCUUGCAUGUUGGAUGCACAUUUAGUGGUGCCAAAAAA